CGUGUAGGCGGGAAGGAAAGUCAGAUGUGAAAUCCCCAGGCUCAACCUGGGAACUGCAUUUGAAACUCCCUUUCUUGAGUACCGGAGAGGAAAGUGGAAUUCCUGGUGUAGAGGUGAAAUUCGUAGAUAUCAGGAGGAACACCAGUGGCGAAGGCGGCUUUCUGGACGGUAACUGACGCUGAGACGCGAAAGCGUGGGGAGAAACA
rnacentral:rRNA from 1 species